GUUUUUAUAAUUUAAAAAAAAUAUUGGUUUUGUAAACCAAAAAUAAAUAUCCUUUUAAAAACA
rnacentral:tRNA from 1 species